rnacentral:lncRNA from 1 species
UCACUUUUGAAAAAUAAAAAAAAAAUUGAAAUUAAUAUGAAAUUGAAAAUAAAAUUAAAAAUGAAAUUGAUAUUGAAAUUGAUAUUGAAAUUGAAAUUGAAUUUGAAGUUUAAUAAUUAAUGUAGAACAAAAAUUAACUUCGACAAUCACUAAUUUAACUCAGGUAAGCGCAAGUUCGGAUUUUGAGCGAGCAUUGCGGAGUUGUAUUGUUGGAAAAACGCCAUUUGACGAGCCAUAAACUCUUCAUUCUGACGAGCCAUAAACUUUUCAAAUCACAAAUUUGUAAAUCCGCAAAACAAACCUUCAACCUAAAAUAAACAAACACUAAAUUAAAAUGAAUUAAACCUAAAUAACAUAAAUCAUGUACACUUAAUUAUUCAAUAACACUUCAAUAACAUAAAUCAUGUACACUAAAUAACAUAAAUCAUUCAUUAUUCAAUAACACUCAAUAGUAACAAAUAACAAUAACACAUACAUAAAUAACAAUACACUUAAAAUAAAAUUCAGUAAGAUUGACUGGAAAUCUAUUUUAUUUUAAAUCAUACACACAUGACACAUGAUAAUUAAAUAAAAAUCAUUAAGCUGGACUGACUAAAUGUUAUUUUAAACAAGUUGGUUGGGGAUUUAGAUAACACAAUGAAUGUUUUAUUAUUUAUCAUUAUUGAUUUAUUUUAUUUAUUAUGUUUGUGUGUCAGCAGGACAUGUUUUAUUCCAGCAAACAUGUUUUAUUAUGUCUGUGUAUAUAUUCCAGCAAACAUGUAUAUAUUCCAGCAAAUGUUUUAAUAUCAACAUUGAUCAACACAGCCUAUCAAUGACAUAAAUAAGGAUGCAAACAAAAAUAACAAAACUUUAGGCUUGCUAAAAACAGAUAAGAUAAAUAUAGAAAGCAACAGGAUCAUCAUGGUAUUUUAUUUGAGAGAAAUCUGAUUUAAACUUUAGGAUCACUAAAACACAGAUAAGAUAAACAUAGAAAGCAACAAGAUCAUCAUGGUAUUUUAUUUAAGAGAAAUCUGAUUUAAACCUUAGGAUUGCUACAACACAUAUAAGAUACACAUAGAAAGCAAAAGAGCAUCAUGAUAUUUUAUUUGAGAGAAAUCUGAUUUAAACUAACUACUCUUAAGUCUUAACAGUAGCUAAAUAUACCAUUGGUUAUCUCCUUGCCUCUCUACACCGACAGAUCUACCAUCUACAAUCAUAGAUCCAAAACCACCCCAAUAAAACCAUAACAAUUAUCAAAUUAACUAUUUAUUUUUCUGACCAGAACACUAAGAGAUCCACCGCUUAUGGUAUUCUCCUUCUAUGUGAAAAUGAUUUCACAACUAAAAUCUAAAAGAAGAAAAAGAAACACAUCGAUCAGAAAUCAAUUAAUAUAUCCUACCGAUAUACCAUUUACAAUCAUCGAUCCGAUAUCACUUCAAUAAAGCAACAACAAUUAUCAUAACAAUUGAUUCUAUUUAUAACUUUCACAAAUCAUAACUUUCACAAAUAACAACAAUAACAAAAUUACAAAGAACAAACAAAGAAACCCCAAACCCCAAAUCCCAAAAUUACAAAGAACGAAGAAAAAGAAAGAUUACAAACAAAGAACAAUAAUAACUUUCACAAAUAAUAAAUCCCAAAAUCAAAAAACCCCAAAUCAUAAACCCCAAAUCAUAAACAACAACAAAAAAUGAGAGAAAAAGAUGAAGAAGAUAACACAAUAACAAAAGAAGAUAACUAAUGGAGGAUGAAGAACAUACCUUUAGGAAGAACUUCGAAGAUCACCGGAGAUAAAUGGCUGGAAGAUCACCGGAGACAAGUUGGGGGAGGGUUUGGUAGGAGUGGGAGUAGUGGAGACGUUUUUGGGGGAAAAGAAAAUGAAAGAAAUCUGGAAUUUUUUUUCUUAUAUAAAAAUUUUCCGGCGGCCUGGCCGUCGGGAAAUACUUAAGUUUCGUUUGACUUAGUUUGACUGUACGGGGGACCACGGCGGCGCAAGUUGUAAAUUUAGAGUUUUCCAAAAAUCCUGGCGGCCAGGCCGCUGGCUACUGAAAAAAACAAGCGGGAAAAAGUAUCCAGCGGCCAAGCCGCCAGCAAUUUUUCUCCCGACCGUUGAGGGUUUUAGUAUGCCGGCGGCCAGGCCGCCGGAAAAUUUCUUCCCGACCGUUGGUGAAUUGGAGCUGGCGGCCAGGCCGCUGACAUUUUUUACAAAAAAAUAUUCCGUCGGCCUGGCCGUCAGCAAAUUUCUCUCAUUUACGAGGGAAAAUUAUGCAGGCGGACAAGUGUAACCUUCCGUCGGCCUGGCCGCCGGGAGAUGGGCGCCAGAACUGCGCUGAUUUUUUGUAGUGAAACAACACUUCUAACUUGUAGAGAUGAACAAGAAGAUUAGAAGAAGAAGUUGGUGAGCUUUUGAAGCUUUGGAAAGCUAGGACACUUGAACACUUGAAAGCUUGGAAGCUUGGAGGCAAAAACGUGUGGGCAAGUGUGGAGUGAAAGCUCUUGAGUUUGCUUGUAGUGUGGUGAGUGAAAAUGAGGGGUUUACCCUUCUAUUUAUAGCCUUGGCCACUCAAUGUCCA